rnacentral:tmRNA from 1 species
CGGGACUAUGAACAUAAACGCGCUCGUAAUAAGCGGAUCGGACCCGGGGGCGGUACCCGGCGACUCCACCAAACAUCCUUCAUUUGGGGAUCAUGGGGUCGAAACAGGAUCGACGAACGUCUAAAGGGGUUUGCUUUGUUUCGGCUGUCUGCCACCGUUAUCGGCGAAACUUGUACAAUUGCAAAUGACAAUCGUGCUCCAGUUGCGAUGGCCGCGUAAGCGGUUUCAGCGACUGAAACUUAACUCCUUGGGUUUAGCGACCUAAGGCGGGGUUCGCAGGCACCUGGCAACAGAAGCCUGCACUU